GAUGAACGCUGGCGGCGUGCCUAAUACAUGCAAGUCGAGCGAAUGGAUUAAGAGCUUGCUCUUAUGAAGUUAGCGGCGGACGGGUGAGUAACACGUGGGUAACCUGCCCAUAAGACUGGGAUAACUCCGGGAAACCGGGGCUAAUACCGGAUAACAUUUUGAACCGUAUGGUUCGAAAUUGAAUGGCGGCUUCGGCUGUCACUUAUGGAUGGACCCGCGUCGCAUUAGCUAGUUGGUGAGGUAACGGCUCACCAAGGCAACGAUGCGUAGCCGACCUGAGAGGGUGAUCGGCCACACUGGGACUGAGACACGGCCCAGACUCCUACGGGAGGCAGCAGUAGGGAACCUUCCGCAAUGGACGAAAGUCUGACGGAGCAACGCCGCGUGAGUGAUGAAGGCUUUCGGGUCGUAAAACUCUGUUGUUAGGGAAGAACAAGUGCUAGUUGAAUAAGCUGGCACCUUGACGGUACCUAACCAGAAAGCCACGGCUAACUACGUGCCAGCAGCCGCCGUAA
rnacentral:rRNA from 1 species